rnacentral:siRNA from 1 species
ACACCCUCAAUCCAACCUAACCAA